rnacentral:rRNA from 1 species
UACGGAGGGUGCGAGCGUUAAUCGGAAUUACUGGGCGUAAAGGGCGCGUAGGCGGCCAGAUAAGUCGGGUGUGAAAGCCCUGGGCUCAACCCGGGAAUUGCAUUCGAUACUGUCUGGCUAGAGUAUGGUAGAGGAAAGCGGAAUUCCGGGUGUAGCGGUGAAAUGCGUAGAUAUCCGGAGGAACACCAGUGGCGAAGGCGGCUUUCUGGACCAAUACUGACGCUGAGGCGCGAAAGCGUGGGGAGCAAAC